UGACGGUACUUGACUAAGAAGCCCCGGCUAACUACGUGCCAGCAGCCGCGGUAAUACGUAUGGAGCAAGCGUUAUCCGGAUUUACUGGGUGUAAAGGGAGCGUAGACGGCAAAGCAAGUCUGAAGUGAAAUCCCGGGGCUCAACCCCGGAACUGCUUUGGAAACUGUUUAGCUAGAGUGCAGGAGAGGUAAGUGGAAUUCCUAGUGUAGCGGUGAAAUGCGUAGAUAUUAGGAGGAACACCAGUGGCGAAGGCGGCUUACUGGACUGUAACUGACGUUGAGGCUCGAAAGCGUGGGGAGCAAACAGGAUUAGAUACCCUG
rnacentral:rRNA from 1 species